CUACGGGCGGCACCAGUGGGGAAUCUUAGACAAUGGGGGCAACCCUGAUCUAGCCAUGCCGCGUGAGUGAUGAAGGCCUUAGGGUUGUAAAGCUCUUUCAGCUGGGAAGAUAAUGACGGUACCAGCAGAAGAAGCCCCGGCUAACUCCGUGCCAGCAGCCGCGGUAAUACGGAGGGGGCUAGCGUUGUUCGGAAUUACUGGGCGUAAAGCGCACGUAGGCGGACCAGAAAGUUGGGGGUGAAAUCCCGGGGCUCAACCUCGGAACUGCCUUCAAAACUAUUGGUCUGGAGUUCGAGAGAGGUGAGUGGAAUUCCGAGUGUAGAGGUGAAAUUCGUAGAUAUUCGGAGGAACACCAGUGGCGAAGGCGGCUCACUGGCUCGAUACUGACGCUGAGGUGCGAAAGCGUGGGGAGCAAACAGGAUUAGAUACCCGAGUAGUC
rnacentral:rRNA from 1 species